GUGAACUGAGCAUGUGCAGACGCAGCUGAAGCUAAUAAGCUUCAGGAAGCUGUUGCUUGUUUUGUUGUCUUGUUUUUCUGAGGCUGGAGUGGAUGGAACAGUCUCUCCAGGUCAGCUGUCUGAUAAGCUCCGGCUCCACAGAUGAACCCAAUAAAACCAGCGUCUCGAUAACAGGGUGAUAAACCUACACCUGCGUCUGUCUGCUGAUGAGGACACGCCUCUUUUUUUUUUAAAGAAAAGGCCUAAACUUGUCAGUGGGGCAUCGCCGCCAUCCUUCUCACAAAGACGCGACCCAGUUUUGUGAGUAUUUCCACAGGAUUAUAUGAGGAAAUCCUGCUGCGUUUACAUAUCUGCCAUGUGUUCUCAUCAUGAGGAGCACGUACCAACCAGAGCCCACAUGAUAAGCAACAGAUGCUCAACCAAAUCCUCUUUCAUCCCCCCCAAAAUCAUGUGUUUUUUAGGAUCAGAUCAAAUAAUCUGUGUCAUCGUGGAGAAGUCCGAAUUGAAUUUCUCUGAAUGUCUUUUCACUUUAUGAGUGUGCGCUUUUCAUUCUGCUGUGUUCAUGCUGACUAGGGCCUUCACCAUGCCACUGACUGUAUCCAGGAUGAGUCAUGUUCAUAGUGAAGCAGAAAGAGUGACAUGUAUGAUCCGUAUUUACGUAUCAUAGCAGUAACUUAAUAAGAAAAACUGUUCAUUGAGGAAGCUCCGGCUUUUCCUCCUUUCCUCCUGGGUUUAUAAACUUGAGUCCAUCUUUGUGUCAGUCUACAACCGCAAUGUGAUAAAGUACAAAUAACUACAACUACAAAUUAAUUUCCAAUGUAAUUUCAAUUUUUUUUCACAUAACACAAUCUGUUUUUCCCUCCCCUUAUGCCCUUUUGUGAAAGACUUCACCUAAGAAUAUUCUCCUGAGAUUCAAACUUGCAAUACAAAUCUAAUUUAUUACGUAUUUUAUAAUGAAUUAAUGGCGAUUAAUCAUAUUUUAGUUUUUGAGGCCAUAUGAGUUCAAUCAUCCGCGUCUUCUGUCUAUCAGGAAUAAGGUGCAGUAAAAGUGUUACCUGUCA